rnacentral:rRNA from 1 species
UACGUAGGGUGCGAGCGUUGUCCGGAAUUAUUGGGCGUAAAGAGCUUGUAGGCGGUUUGUCGCGUCUGCUGUGAAAAUCCGGGGCUCAACCCCGGACUUGCAGUGGGUACGGGCAGACCAGAGUACGGCAGGGGAGACUGGAAUUCCUGGUGUAGCGGUGAAAUGCGCAGAUAUCAGGAGGAACACCGGUGGCGAAGGCGGGUCUCUGGGCCGUAACUGACGCUGAGGAGCGAAAGCGUGGGGAGCGAACAGG